rnacentral:rRNA from 1 species
UACGAAGGGGGCUAGCGUUGUUCGGAAUUACUGGGCGUAAAGCGCACGUAGGCGGACAUUUAAGUCAGGGGUGAAAUCCUGGAGCUCAACUCCAGAACUGCCUUCGAUACUGGAGAGCUUGAGUCCGGGAGAGGUGAGUGGAACUGCGAGUGUAGAGGUGAAAUUCGUAGAUAUUCGCAAGAACACCAGUGGCGAAGGCGGCUCACUGGCCCGGUACUGACGCUGAGGUGCGAAAGCGUGGGGAGCAAACAGG